rnacentral:lncRNA from 1 species
CCAACUUCUCCCGACAAAAGUCACAGUCCGCCUCAUCUCACACAACGAGGAGUCCACCACCCUAGUUGCCCUGGCCCCCUCCGCCGGAGCUCCGGUGCUUCCCGCCGCAACUGCAUCCUCCUCCACCGGUGCAGGUGCCUCCUCCGCUGCUCCCUCCUAUUCGCGCAGCUCCCACUCACUUGCCUCCCCAGCUUUCCCUCCCUUUAUCGAGAAAAAGUCCUUCAUUUUCCCACGGGCUAUGGCACUCUGCUCCGCCUGCAUCGGAUCCGGCGAGGCUGACGGCGGCUGCGAGGCCCGACGCACCGGAUCCGGACCACCACCAACCAAAGACGAUGGGAGCCACAGAUGCUGCGAGAACCGGGGGACCCAACAACGACAGCAAGCUAAAGUCUCCCCCUUGCAAGGUCAAAUGAGGAGUACGACAACGGCGAUGUCCUGGAGCAGAACGAGCGACCUGGAUGGGAAGGAGGGUAGCAGCAGGACGAGGGACAAAGCUGAGCCGUCUUGCUCCCUUCGGACGACCCUCCAUGCCCAACACCCCAAGAUCUUCCGGCUGCACAAGGCGAAUUACUUGCUCAUCUGUUAAUUCUUCUGAAUAUGCAGCAGGAUUUUCUCAAACUUAGAGCAUAAUUUUGCAGCAAGAUAUAUCUCAGAUAGCCACUGUGCAAUCAGCUCAACAGUGUAAAUUUAGAGCUAGAUUUUGUCAAACUGAAUCUUGCUCAACAGAUUUAGUUAUGUUGCUAAAAUUUUAGUAUUUUAUACUUCUCUGAAUACAAAAGACCUAUUCGGCAACUCUUCGCCCUGCACCUUGGCUCGUGAAGCGGCCGGAGCGGAGCAGACUAUAGCCUAUUUUCUUGGAGUCGCGGAAGUGGUGCACCGUUCGCUCCCCUAUUUUACGGAGCUGGAUGGUUGCCCAACAGGCUCAAAGUGUACUUCUUAUUGCAAGGAAAUUUAAAACUCAUUUCACAAGUGAGUUAACUGAAUUUUGACAUAGUAGUUAACUGAAUUUACUACCAUCUUUACCAAAUGCAGUUUACCCAUUUGUUUUGCUUCUUACUUUCUGCUAUGUUUGCUAAGAGAAGAUUAACUUCCUUCUGUAAUUAUUCACAUGAUAGAUGUGCCAACUUCCUUUCGCAAAAUUUUGCCACCUUGACCAACAUUUUGACAAACUUACUGCUAGUCUAGAGCCACAUGAUACCUUGCUAGGUUAGUUAUUUUUCUAACCAACCAACGAUGCAUGCAAAUCUGCUAGAUAACCCCAAGUCCACAGCAAAGGAGGAAGAAAGUGAAACGUGAAGCUGAUCAGCUUAUCCAUCAGCUAGAUAACCCCAAGUGCAACUGGGUUCAGGGCCUAUACUUGCUUACCGAAGGAAAAAAGACAAAUAAUUGGAUUUUUUUAACAAUGGGUGCUGAUGUUUGCAUGAUCGGUGUUAGUCCAAGCUAAUCCAAGUACUGAAUUACUCCUUGUUGGAGUACUGUCAUUGAAAUGUAAAUUGAAUUACUGUCAUAUAACAGUAAUCUGAAUUUUAAACUGGGUAUGAAGUAAACUUGCUAGAGUACAAAUUUAUGCAUUACUCCAUAUUUUUUGAGGUACCUUCAUUUACUUCAUACUCAAAAUUUACUCCAAAUUUACACAUUACUCCUUGCUGGAGUAUUUUUAAAAUACUCCUAUGGUUAAAAUGGUCAUGUUGUAUAAAGUUCAUCUGUAUAUGUGCUGAAAAUUCAAUUAUACUUGCCUACUAAAAAUUCAGUUAAAAUUCAGUCACCAUUCUGAAUUUUGAUAUUGCUUCAUACAGCUCCAUCUAACUCCAUCUACUCCUCGGCAUACUGAAUUAAGUCAAAUUCAGUCACCAUUCUGAAUUUUGUAGUUAUCAUACAUUUUGUUCAGAAAACUCACUGAAAAAGAUUUGUUCAGUCACCAUUUUGUUCAACUCUAGUUGAUGUCUAGGAGAAGCAAACUGACCAAAGUAAUCAAACAUCCGAGGAGUCCCAACAAUCUUGUCUCACUUUGAUUUGCUCUAAAAUUAAGAGUGAAUUUGAUUGAACUUACUUUGUACCUUCCCUUCAGAGUGCAUAGGAGCAGCAACAGUAGGGGCACGGGAGAAGGACAGAAGAUAGCAGAGCUCUAACGGUGGAAGCUCGAGGAGAAGCAGCAGCCGGAGCACAAGGAGAAGGUGUAGUCGGAGCUCGAGGAGAGGUAGAAGUGGGAGCUCGAGGACACAUAGGAGAGCAGUUUUUGGCGGUGGCAUAGGUUUGGCCGGAGGUGGCACAGCAGGUCUGAGGAACGGCGGGAGAGCACUUCUAGGCGGCAGGAGAGGGCCGCAGUGGCAUAGGUCUGGGCGAUGGCACCGAAGCUGUUCUGGGCGGCGGCAGACCGGGUCAUGAGGAAUCGUGGCUAUAGCUAGACGUGACUGACCGGCGCCGGCCCUGGCAAUGUGUAACUCAUCCUAUCUUUAUUUUGGCACGAGGGUCUCGACAGGGAUAGAAGCGCACCUCGUCGUUUCGCAAGAAUGAAUAUCAUUACAAAUACAUGUAUGGAAGAGAUGAGUAUAAGGAAUUGGCUUGCACGGGUCACAAGCUACAACAUGAACAACACAAUACAACAAUAUAUUCAAUCAUCAUGUAGAAGAGCAUGGUCCGACUAUGGAUGAAAACAAAUGAUAAAAGAACAAUGUUCAUCCUUACUAUACCAAGCUGCCGACCUAGAACCCAUCCUAUGAUCGAUGAAGAAGAGGAAGAAAAACUCCAAAUAGAAAAAUCACCGCGCUCACGUCAAAGUAUCGUUUUACUUGUACCUGCAACUGUUGUUAUA